CAGUAGCCGCGGGAAUACGUAGGGUGCAAGCGUUAAUCGGAAUUACUGGGCGUAAAGCGUGCGCAGGCGGUUAUAUAAGUCAGAUGUGAAAUCCCCGGGCUCAACCUGGGAACUGCAUUUGAGACUGUAUGGCUAGAGUGUGUCAGAGGGGGGUAGAAUUCCACGUGUAGCAGUGAAAUGCGUAGAUAUGUGGAGGAAUACCGAUGGCGGAGGCAGCCCCCUGGGAUAACACUGACGCUCAUGCACGAAAGCGUGGGGAGCAAACAGGAUUAGAUACCCCGGUAGUCCCUGUCUCUUAUAC
rnacentral:rRNA from 1 species